GAGGCGCAAGAAACAGAGCCCCUAUUCUCCCCUCAUCUCCCUCAAAUCGCCGCCACCCACCGCCUCGUCUCCCUCCUCUGAUCCACCUCGUCGCGGGCCUUCCCCCUCCACUCCUCCCACCUUGCAGCUCCGGAGGUUGCUGGACCUGCCUCAUCCCCCACCCACCCAUCCCCUCUCAUAUCCCAUCUCUCUCUUCACGUGGCUCCCCGCUGCGCCACCUGCGGCGGCUGAUUCAGGCGACGUCCGGCGAAUCCCACCAUCUUGAAGCAUAGCCUGAGAUUCCCUUGCAUCACGGCGCCCUUCCAUCCGGCUAGAUCCGGCGCUCGCGGCCACCAAAGCCCACCCGCGACCCUCCCCCAUGGCUAGGGUUUCCGUCAUGGGCUCUGGCGCCGGUGGCCAUGUCGUGAUCCUCUCGUCCGACGUGCAGGGAUGAACGACCAGUGGAUAGCCUUGCCGCUACUCGGAAUGAAGCAGCCAUGGAGCUUCCUCCUCCUUCUCCUCUGGUUUCAGGUGCGUUUGGUCCACUCCUCCUCUCUGCUCCCAAGUCCUCGAUCUGCCGCAGUUAAGACUGGUGCUUCGUAACUCCCUCAUUGCGUUGCUUAGUCACUAGACACACCCAGCUAGGUUUUCUUUGGUUCAUUCAUAUGGUUCGUCUUCAUCGCCAUGGAUGUGCCCUCACAACCAAACGGACCAACAUAGCUUCAUGGAUAUUAUUUAACCCAGGUAAGGAUAAAACUGUGAAUCUAAGUAGGACGCACCGACAUUAAAGCACCAAUAUAGCGUCAGCAUGCUUAAGUUCUGCACAGCGCGCGCAUGUGGGGAUUGUACGAUAGAUCAAUGUCGUGCAUUAAGCCUGCCAGUCACACUUCGCGCUUAUCUUCACUGUAGUUAGUCUGACGAAUUCCUAUAAUCUAAUUAGUAAUUAGGUGUGGACACCUAUGUUCUGUUUUUUUCUGUUCAAGGGAGCAGAAUCGUCCGAUUUGGCCUUCCGUAAGGACCAAAUUAACAACAAUAGCGAGGAAUAUUAGGAGUUAAUCCACUGCUACAUAUAUUUCAUUACUGUCAUAGUUGGUAUAAUCAUAUUUUAUAGUAGAAAUAUUUAGCAUAGAUGUCAACACGGGCACAGAUAUGUCAAAUCCACAUGUAUUUGCAUGAGUACUACUUUUUUCUAUGUCUGAAGUCUGAACGAAUUAAGUAACGGCUAAUGAUUUCAGCGAAAGAACUCUUUUUUUUUCUUGGUGUAUCCGCAUAUUGCACCAUUUUGUUGUAUGAGAGGCACUAUUACAGCCUCCAUAUUAAUUCAAGAAGAGAGUUACAAAGAAUCAUUGGAUGUGCUAGGCAAUGAAAUGUAAGGCAUUACAUUGUAGAUUGGUUCGAGAGAGUCGGUUCAGUACUAUAGGCCUGUGCGUGACAAAAGAAAUAUAUUAAUCCAAGUGGACAUUGUUUUCCUGCAAAAACGAGCCAGAUCCAUCUGGGAUGUGACAACGAAGUGCUGAGCAAAGAAGUGGCUUGGUGGGGAUGGCAUGCUUGAUUUGCUCUACUGUAAAUUAUCAUGUGCCUUCUCUCCUUUUACUUACUAAUUCUCUCCCUGAAGCUGGAAAGAGACCGUGACAUGCAAAUUUGAUCUUGUGAACCUAAAAAAAUUAUGUUUUCUUUCUAAAUGUCCCAGCAGAAGCUAAGAUUUAGCUUCACUGAUGUAAAUAAUUCAUAAGAGGUUUGCAUCCUUCCUUUUUAUUUAUGUACGUUAUCGAUAAUGGUGCUGCUUAUGCACAUAUUCAGGUUGCAGUCAAUAUUCAUCGUAAGCAGAAGUUUUUUUUUGAAGAGCUAUCUUUUGAGCACAUGUUCAGGUUCGUUUGAUAUCUAAGCAAGGAUAAAACUGAUGGUUACUACCUGAUAUGUCUUUCUCUAAAAAAAUAAAAGUAUUUGAUACUCUACCUUAAUUAUACAUUAAAAUUUAACAAGCAUGGGAAAGUCUGAACGUCACAUUUGUAGAUUCUCACUUUUUAGCUUAAGAUCAAGAUUCCACAAGGCUAAUUGAUCUGUUAAAUUGUAUUCAGUUCUGGUGUGGAAACUCAUUUACAAAAAAUGUGUAUUUUAUACUUUUAGUUCCAAUUGUCAAUACUAGAAAGAGAACGCCGAGUUUGAUCUUCAAUCAAAAUGAGUAACUGGAGCAUCAGGCUCUUUUAACUAAAACAUACAUUAAGGUAAUCAUAUAUGUUAUACUACAUCAUUUGUUCAGAUGUCAUACUUUAAGCUAAUGACCCCUGUUUUCUUUGCUACACAAAACUAUAAAUCGUUCCCAUCUGAUUUAUUAAACUUCUAUUCCAUCAUAUAAUGAAGCUUAUAUUUUCAAAAGCUGUAGGUUUGUUCCAAAGCGUGGUGAGCACCUGUAGGUUUGUAUGUUUCGUGUUGGAUGAGUCAAACCAACUAGAGCUAUAUGUUUUGGUUUGGUUUUAGAUGACUAAAACCGUUUUGGUUCAGUUUGCUAACUAACUGGAGAACAUAAGAGAAGUGGUACUGUCACUCACAUUGCCCUUGAAUGCACAUCAGCACUUAGUCUAUUGUCCAUAUAAUUUUACUGAGCCAUGUUGUUCUGCAGGAUGUGUCGUAUAUUGUGGCAAUGUGAUUAGUCAUCAAUAACAACUACACUCAUGCUGGUAUCUUAUCAUAAUCACAUCUCAAUAGUUUUCAAACUAUAGUGCUAGCUUGUUCAUUUGUUUCUUACUUAUUAUUUGCUAUUGGACUUCUUAUUUUCUCUUGCUACAAUUGUAAGUUGUGAUACUAAAUUCAAACUUGAGGGUGCUAAAAUCACAAAUGUAUUCUGGGCAGUGCAUGUCGAUAUGGCACUUGUGAAAUUUAGUAUGAAGUCGCAAAAACUGCAAUACUCUCGAUUCAAAAGAUAUGUGGAUGAUUAUAUGGGUGCAUGGCAAGUAUAGAGCAAUGAUAAUGACGAUGUUCCGGUUCAUGAUGAAGAUGAUGGAUGCUUUCAGUUUUGAUUAUGUAGUAGGGAUGUUGUUCCUGUUGGAUGAUGUUCCUCGACGAAGUUUUAGUUAAGGUGUAGGGAUGUUGAUUGAUGCUUUCAGUUUGAUCUUCGUUGUCAAGAAAUUAUUUAGAUUAUGCAUCACAUUUGGAUGAUGUUCCUCCUGUAAUACCAACUAUCGUAAUCCGACAGUUUUAUUCAAAUA